GCUGUUUUGGCAGAAUCUAAUGCUAUAAAUUUAGGAUUUAUAUAUGUAAUUUAUAUUACAAAUAGUA
rnacentral:tRNA from 1 species